rnacentral:rRNA from 1 species
UGUGUAUUGUUUUAUAUUUAUUUUUAGUUUAUUUUUCUUUUUAGUAAAGUGGUAUUUUGUUGUUGUAUAUUUAGUUGAUUUAAUUGUGUUUAUUAUAGCUUAUUAGUACUGUGAGGGGUGUUAUUAAUUUGUUUUUAUAAGUUGGUUUUUUUUGCUGUACCUUGUGUAUCAGGGUUUAUUAAUUUUUAUUAUUUAUUUUUAUUUCCCGAUUUCGGAGGAGUUAUUUGAGUGUUUUAGUUUACUGUUUCAUUAGUAUUUAUAACAUUUUUUUGGUAGUGAUAUGUUAUUCGUCUUCGGUGGUAUCUGGUUUUCCGAGAAAUGAAUUUAAUUCACGUUUUAUUUUUAGUUAUCAUUUUGUUUUGUUUUUCUUUAUUUACGACGAAGGUGUUGAGGGAUAAGCUUCGAUUCUUUUUUAUAAUGUUUGUUUAUUUAUGAUUUUCUUGUGGGCUUUGUGGUGGCUACUUAUUUGAGUAUGUUAUAGUACUACUGUUUAAUUAUUUGAUUUUGACUUCAUUUAAUUUAUUUAUUGGAAUGAUAGGUUUAAUUAAUUAUUUUUUGUAUUUUUGAUUGAAUUAGUAUAUUAUUGUUUUAUUGUGUUGAUUUAAAUUGGGAGUUUAUUUAGAGGAACUAGGCAAAGUUUUUGGUGCCCGCCUGUUUAACAAAAACAUCUCCUCUUGUAGUUGUUUAUGAGGUAUGGUCUGCCCACUGAUUUUAUUGAAGGGCCGCGGUAUUUUGACCGUGCAAAGGUAGCAUAGUCAUUAGUUCUUUAAUUGUGAACUGGAAUGAAUGGCUUGACGAGGUGUCGUCUGUCUUUAUUGAAUUUUUUUUUUAUUGAAUUUGGUGUUUGGGUAAAAAUACCUAAAUUUUAUUAUGGGACGAGAAGACCCUAUAGAGUUUUAUUUAAUCACUUUAUUUAUCGUUUGUUUAUGUUAUUUAAUUGUAUUAAAUUUCGUUGGGGUGAUGGGAGAGUAAUUUGAACCUCUCCUGUGUUUUUUCAUUUAUUUAUGUUCUUAUGAUCCUUUUUUAUUGAUUUUAAGAUAAAAUUACCUUAGGGAUAACAGCGUAAUCUUUUUUGAGAGUUCUUAUUGACAAAAGGGUUUGCGACCUCGAUGUUGGAUUAAGAUGAAUUUUUGGUGUAGAGGCUUUAUAAAAUUUAUUGGGUCUGUUCGACCUUUAAAAUCUUACAUGAUCUGAGUUCAAACCGGCGUGAGCCAGGUUGGUUUCUAUCUAUAAUUUUCUUGAAUUUUUUAGUACGAGAGGACCAGAAAUUCAAAAUAAUUUUAUUUAGUUAUGAUUUUCAUUAAUUU